rnacentral:rRNA from 1 species
GACGAACGCUGGCGGCGUGCCUAAUACAUGCAAGUCGAACGCAGUGGGGACGGGUGAGUAACACGUGGGUAACCUCCCAUCAGAGGGGAUAACACUUGGAAACAGGUGCUAAACCGAUACUGAUGGAUGGACCCGCGGUGCAUUAGCUAGUUGGUGAGGUAACGGCUCACCAAGGCCACGAUCCAUAGCCGGACUGAGAGGGUGACCGGCCACACUGGGACUGAGACACGGUCCAGACUCCUACGGGAGGCAGCAGUAGGGAAUAUUGCGCAAUGGACGAAAGUCUGAUCCAGCAAUGCCGCGUGAGUGAAGAAGGUCUUCGGGUCGUAAAACUCUGUUGUUAGAGAAGCGGUAUCUAACCAGAAAGCAACGGCUAACUACGUGCCAGCAGCCGCGGUAAUUC